rnacentral:rRNA from 1 species
ACGAGAAUAUUCCGCAAUGGGCGAAAGCCUGACGGAGCGACAUCGCGUGCUGGAUGAAGUGCUUCGGUACGUAAACAGCUUUUAUCGGGGACGAAAUUAUUGACGGUACCCGAUGAAUAAGGGGCUGCUAACUCUGUGCCAGCAGCAGCGGUAAUACAGAGGCCCCAACCAUUACCCGGAAUCACUGGGCGUAAAGGGUGUCAAGGCGGCCAUAUUAGUCGUUCGUUAAAUCUGUGGGCCUAACCUACAGCCUGCGAGCGAAACGGUAUGGCUUAGAGGGCGCGAGAGGUAGAGGGAACUCAUGGUGGAGGGGUGAAAUCCGUUGAUAUCAUGGGGAACACCAAAGGCGAAGGCACUCUACUGGCGCGUUCCUGACGCUCACACACGAAAGCCAGGGGAGAGAACGGGAUUAGAUACCCCCGUAGUCC